AAGACUAUACUUUCAGGGAUCAUUUCUAUAGUUUUUAACUUGGAAAUGUGUUUUGAGAUUGAACUGUCUUUCAAGCCACGAUGAAGAUUUGUGAUGCUUUUCUCUGAGCGUGAGUCGAAUACAGAGUAAUGAUUUUAUCAUACACCCUGUGUUAUUGAUGAACGUUUUUCAGCACUUUCAGUGGUGGAAAAGAGAAGAGCAUGAACAGAGUGGU